rnacentral:hammerhead_ribozyme from 1 species
AUCCAGCCGACGAGUCUUAAAUAGGACGAAACACACGUUCUGGAU